GGGUCUGUCCAUUGGUCGGGCUUUACGGUCCGUACUGGUGAAAUGGGUUCCUACCUUCUGAAUAACUGGCAUGCCAUUCAGUUGGUGCGCCGGGGAAGCAGAGCUAUUACCUUGAAAAAAUUAGAGUGCUUAAAGCAGGCUAUUGCUUGAAUAGAUUAGCAUGGAAUAAUAAAAUAGGACGGCAUGGUUCUAUUUUGUUGGUUUCUAGGAUCACCGUA
rnacentral:rRNA from 1 species